rnacentral:rRNA from 1 species
CGGCGGACGGGUGAGUAACGCGUGGGUAACCUGCCUCAUACAGGGGGAUAACAGUUAGAAAUGACUGCUAAUACCGCAUAAGACCACAAGGUCGCAUGACCAGGUGGUAAAAACUCCGGUGGUAUGAGAUGGACCCGCGUCUGAUUAGCUAGUUGGUGGGGUAACGGCCUACCAAGGCGACGAUCAGUAGCCGACCUGAGAGGGUGACCGGCCACAUUGGGACUGAGACACGGCCCAA